rnacentral:rRNA from 1 species
GGUAGUAGAAAAUAUUCAAAUGAAAACUUUGAAGGUCGAAGAGGGGAGAGGUUUCGUGUGAAUGGCACUUUCACAUGGUUUAGUCAAUCCUAGGGGUCAGGAGAAGUCCAACAGAUAGCGCAUUUUGCGUGUACACCGAAAGAAAAUUGGGUUAAAAUUUCCUUUAUCUAGGAAUGCUUUGAGGUAACAUAUUCAUGGCCCUUGAAAUAAAUUUUCAACCCUAAGUGUUGAAAGAAAAAAAACCCAUGUAUUGUAUCGUGUAGCACCGAAGAUGUUACGAGCCUUUGUGC